ensembl:lncRNA
CGCAAAGAGUCAGACACGACUGAGUGACAUUCACUUUACUCUCACUUUAAGCCCUGGCACACAGGACUCCCUUUCAUGAGAGCUCGUGGACUGAAACUGCGCAGCGUUCUGACGUCAUCCUCUUGUAUUGUUCCCAGGGCUGAGUGAUGGUCUGGAUGGGUUAUCCGCCGGCUAUAUCAAGUACACUUUCCAAAACAAACUCUUUAUUUUGAGAUCGUUCUGGAUUUACCAAACAGUUGCAGAGUCAGUACAGAGGGUUCCUGGCCAGCCCUUGCCUGGUUUCUCCCACUGUUAACCCUCCGUAGCCCUGUUGUCAAAACUCAGAUGUUACCAUGUUUGCAAUGCCAUGUGUUGAACCACACGCUUUAUUUGCGUAUCACUAGGGAGAAAGCUCCUGAGAGCCCCUGGGACCACAAGGAGAUCCAGCCAGUCCAUUCUGAAGGAGAUCAGCCCUGGGUGUUCUUUGGAAGGAAUGAUGCUAAAGCUGAAACUCCAGUACUUUGGCCACCUCAUUGAGUCAGCUCUUUGUAUCAGGUGGCCAAUUUCCCAGGGGGAGGUCCCUCCAAACAGUGUUAGGAAUUCUUCCGCAAGGAACUUUUGUUUCUUCUCUCCCAUGAAUUUAUCUGUUCAACCCUGUAUUUGUAUCAGCAUGGGCUCACGGGUGCCUGUGAAAACCCAUUUUCCUUGUCUUGGUCAUGGAAUUGUUCCUUUCAAGCUUGGAGGGAUUGUCUAGGUGUCGUUUGGGGUCUGAGUGCAUCGUCCUUGAUCAUUUCUUUUAGCUUUAGGUUUUUUAAAUGCUUUUUUUUCUUUAUUGUGGUGAGAGUCACACAGUAUAAACAUACUGUUGGAACCGUAUUUAACUGUACGCUUAGUUCAGUUCCACCAAGUACAUUCCCAUCGUGUGCGAUGCUCACCGUCACCCGUCUCCCAGAUUUUUCACCUUCCUACACUGCAGCUGGGUCCCCUUUAAACACUCAGUGCCCAUCGCCCUGCCCUUUCCCGUGCCUGGCAGCCACCAGUGUACCUGCUGGCUCAUGAAUCUGACUGUUCAGUUCUGGGUGUUUUUUUAAGCCCAUGAUAACAUGCAGGUCCAAUUACUCGCUUGGAUUAGGACUUGGGGGCUCUGUCGGUGGCAGGCCCUGGCGAUGCCCCUUUGCGGUGGCUGGGGAUUUCGGUGCCUCUUUGGGACAAGCAGCGGGCUCAGCGGCCUCCCCGCCAUCCUGCCUGGGAAUCCUGGCCCUGCUCUUACUCCGGUGCCUUCGGGAGGGUCAGGGCUCAGUCCUGCACAAAGGCAGAGGCGGGGAUGGGAGAGCGUGUCUGUCUCUGC